rnacentral:tRNA from 1 species
GGAUUGUGGCUCAGCGGUAGAGUGCUCGCCUAGCACAUGCGAGGCCCUGGGUUCGAUCCUCAGCACCA